GCGGAUGUAGCUCAGUUGGUUAGAGCGCCGGCCUGUCACGCCGGAGGUCGCGGGUUCGAGCCCCGUCAUUCGCG
rfam:Caulobacter segnis ATCC 21756, complete genome.